GUGACAGGUCAGUGUGAGCUACUUAUGGUUAGACCACCCUGGAUGGGGAGGACAGAAAAGAAGUUUAUUGCAGCUUCUGAAACCUGUUUCGUUGCAAGGAUGUUCUUUCUCUUUCACCCUGGACUGGCAUCGACGGCUUUACAUUUGUGAAACAGAGAAAUGAAUUAGAAGAAGUAGCAGGCCCUAGAAGUUCACUCCAGAGAACCAAAGUUUCUGUCAAGUCUUUGAUCACUUAAGAAAGUUAAAACUUGUGGAUAUUAAAGGAGCUAAGUUCUGCUAACAGCUAUAUAACAUUCUGCAGAAUCUCUUAUUACAACCUUGGGACACCACUGGGAACAUUGGUUAUUUUACCAAGGCUUUGACUGGAAUGUCAUAUUUGAGAAAGACCUGCAUAGACUCAGAUAUGACCACACAGCUUUAAGGAAUGGAGGUUGGCUUUAUGAAAUCUGGAACUGUAAAGCCCCUUGGAACUGUUGGCCUGGUACCUUGCUUAAAGAGUUCCCAGCAUCCUUACCAGAUAAUUUUCAGGAAAGACUUUAUAACAACGUCAGUACCAAAUUGCUGUUUUGGAAUGUGUUGGUUGAAAUCAACAUAUCUCUGCCAUCAGAGAUGUCGGUUCUGAUCCUGAUGUGGCCAUUGCUUAUUUUGUUUCUGCUCAUGAGUUGCCUUGUUUGUAAGCUCAGAGGUAGAAGCAACCUAAGCGUCCACCAACAGAUGAAUGGAUAAACGAAAUGUGUUGUAUACAUACGAUGGAAUAUAUUCAGCCUUAAAGAAGAAGAAAUACUGACACAUGCUACAACAUGGAUAAACCUUGAGGACAUGAUUCUAAAUG
rnacentral:lncRNA from 1 species